GAACGCUGGCGGUGUGCCUAAUACAUGCAAGUCGAUCGGGCGUAGCAAUACGUCAGAGGCGUACGGGUGAGUAACACGUAGGUAACCUACCUUUAAGACUGGAUACCCAGACGAAAGUUUGGCUAAUACCGGAUAACAACAUUUGAGACAUCUCUUUUGUUUGAAAGGCGCUGCAAGACGCCACUUUUAGAUGGACCUGCGUCGCAUUAGCUAGUUGGUGAGAUAAAAGCCCCACCAAGGCUGGGAUGCGUAGCCGAUCUGAGAGGAUGACCGGCCACAAUGGGACUGAGACACGGCCCAUACUCCUACGGGAGGCAGCAGUAGGGAGUUUUCGGCAAUGGGGGAAACCCUGACCGAGCAACACCGCGUGAGUGAUGAAAGGUCUUCGGAUCGUAAAGCUCUGUUACGAGGGACGAAUGAUCGCUUUAGGAAAUGAGAGCGGUUUGACGGUACCUCGCCAGAAAGCGACGGCUAACUACGUGCCAGCCGCAGC
rnacentral:rRNA from 1 species